rnacentral:lncRNA from 1 species
CAAGGGGUAGCCCCAGGGGAGUGGGAGCUCCCAUGCACAGGAGAUUCCUGGUGUGAAGGACAUCUCUUAGUGAGGCCAGGGUAGCACACACACCAUCUUCAAGACUAGGUGAAUGUGCAGGUGACACAAAGGACUUAGGCUCUGUGUCCCCCAGUUUGUUCUUGAGUCUUAGUUCUUGGUUCUCUCAUCAUCGGGAGGAAGGCAGGUCCUUCUCGUUGGGAAGAGAGGACAAGCCUACACUUUUGCCUCAUUUUUGGCUCAUUUUUAUCCUUGUGUAUGUACAUAGAUUUCUGGUCACCUGCAUGCUUCACAUCCAGGCCAGAGUGCCUCUGUUGUACCCUCUGUGUUAUGAAGACAUACAGUUGGCCUCCUGCCCUAAGCUGGGGCUGAUAGGCAACGAGUCUCUGGCUUAUCUCAAACCUGGUGUAGGUCAAAGGCUUCCUCGUUAGGGGUGCAGGUCCCCGAGGCUUUUAUGAUCAACUUUGCAGGUGUGCACGGGUG